rnacentral:tRNA from 1 species
GUCGUCAAGGCAGAAUGGUUGAGGCAACAGACUAAAAAACUGCUGAGGUCUUGCUGAACAGGUUUGAAUCCUGCUGAUGACA